AGUUUUGUACAUAAGGUUCCGAGUGACCUUAAAUUUUGAGUUAUUUAUUUAAAAUUUAAGCUUAUUUAUUUAAUCCCAAUUUAAUACGUAUUGCUAAUUGCUAGAGGGUUCACAAUAUCGUCAAGCCAUGUUUGCAUGUUUCAAAAUGUUUUAUGGUUUGAUAUAAAAUUGAAGUAGUCUCAGUCAACGUACAUAUAUUUGCUUUUAAGAGCUGACAAUAUAUACGUGCUGCAUGCAUACCUGUUAGUCUUAAAUUGUGUGAAAAAUAAUUUCUUGCCAUGCAGGGAUCUGGGGGAGUUUGGGAAGUCUUUGAGAGCCUACACGGCUACCUUACUGAAACACCCAGUCCAGGAAUCCCCAUAUUGACUGUCAUGGAUGUGCAGGUUUAUUGGAAAGGUUCACAACUCAAUUGAGUCAGAUCUUGAAUUCCAUCAGCAUGUAUAUAAAAUGUACAAUGUAAUUUAACAAGGUUUGUCUUAACAACCGUGAUUGCCUAAUUAGAAGAACCAUCCACAAGGAUAACUGCAUGAUUUGACAAAAUAAAUUGCAGUCAGUUUACAGGGAACAAACAGUGAACUUCUUCACAAGACAAUAAGACAAUUGAUAUGAAGUCAAAUGUAGUUCAUUUAGUAGUAGUUCCAUUAAAUGAAGUUCAGCCAAUUAUUGUUUGAUUCACAGGAAGAUUCUGAUGAUGAUGAAGAGAGACAGGAAGAGGAGGAAAGUGACCGGGUUGUUGACAUGUAAUUUAAUUAAUUGUCAAUAAGCAUUUAAUUUAAAGUGAAGUGGUGUCAAUGACCGUUUCCUAAAUGUAAUUUGCAACUGCAACGCACUUGUUUAUGGCUAACACGAUCAGGGUGGCAAAGUAGGGGUCUAGUUAUCCAUCCAUCCCAACCCAUACUGUUGGGUUGUCUAAUCCUAACCCUAACUCCAAUCUGCAAGGUGCUCUUUUGCAUGUACAAUUAACUCUUGAAAUUGAUCACAUGAUAAGUUGUUGUGCCAGUUUGCAAAGCGGAUGUUUUGGCAACUCAGGUAGUUUAGUUAAUUGUACCAUCCACUGUCUCCAAAAUCAUUUUCAACCUUAGUAGUACCAAAAAUUAUUAUUCAUGCUCACUUUCUUGAUAGAAAUCUUGACCUCAUUAUCUAAUUGUUUAAUAGAAAUAUGUAUUAGCAUGAGGUGUUGAAGUAAUGAUGGCCCAAGCAAAGAGAAUUUUCAUUUUGAACAUCAAAGUAAGCAACAGAGUUAUCAAUAAGGGCUGUACCCCGUAGCACCGGUUACGGCUGAACAUGUUGGAUGGGUCCUUGAUGUUAUGGUUGAACUUUGCUGUUGUAGGUUCGAUUCAUCCAUAAAGUAACAAAUUUGUGACAGGUGUGGAGAUCAAGGCUACAGUUGAAUGAAAACUUAAUGACAGCCAUGAGCAAGUUGUUUUCUUUUUUUAAGUCUUGGUACUUUCUAAAUGAAAUAGAAAACAUGUUCUCCAUGAUUCCAUUGAUUUAUAGAACCACUCAUGAAAAUUUUGAAGAACUUGAAAAAUGUUAGAAACACUCGGCUAAUGGCUCCUGUUCCAACAACAUUUCUAGUUCUCCCAAACGUUCACUCAUGCUUCCAUAACUUGAUAGAAAAAUUGUACUGCUUAAUUUGUAUUGCUUAAUUGUAUAGUGGUGAUAAAAUAGUGUAUGACUUAGCAAUUUUAAUGUUUUUAAAUUGAGUCAUUGUUUAAUUAAUUAUCAUUUCUUUGUUAAUUUCAUUCAUUUUAAGAACAAAGUCAAUACUUAAUGUGGUUUUAUAGAGAUCUCUUGUCAUGAGUUGAUUUUGUUUUGGACAGGUUCUUUCCUUUACCAGAAAUUUGGCUGGUUUGGUAAGGCAAAAUUUUCAGGGUAUUCCAAUUUCAGCUCAGGGACAAUCAAAUGAAUCAGCUGUCCUAGCUUUAAGCACUGGGAGCAACCCAAAGGGGCAGGUUUACAAUUUCAAUGUGGUGCUACUGGAUCCCAGUGAUGAUUCAAUUCCCAGGGGUACUGUCAGGCAAGAUCUUCUUAACACUGGCAGGAUUGUCCAGAUAUCUUUGGGUAGGAGAACACAAGAAGCAGGAGCACUGAGAGCCCUGAAUGGUGCCCUCCCUUUCCUACACUGUACAAAACAGGUUUUAUUAAUUCUGAACCUAUUAAUGUUUUCUAACAACAGUUUCAUAUAACAGAAAAAUGCAUCAGCCACAUUGAUAACAUUUGAUGAUAACUGUGGUAACCUGGCAGUAUGUAUAUUGGUUUUAAAAAUAAGAUUAGUCCAGCCAAGACAAGAAGAUCAGAAUCCAAUUAAAGACGGGCUCCAAUGGACAAAUUCUAUGGAAACUAUUUAAAACAAUCACCUUGUUUUCAGCAAUUUUUUUUCAGCUCUGUAGUAUUGGUCUGCAGUACAAAAUAAAUUGAAAUGCUUUUAAUCAUGGGUAAUAUCACUGUGCCUUUUGCCUGGAGAGUACUGCUUUGUAAUUCUCGCGACUGAUAAAAGCUCGAGAAAUGUGUUGAUCCCUGCUGUCCGGCCAUCUUCAGGGUUUUCUGCCAGGGAAUGGAAGAAAGUGUGUGGCCAGGGUACACUGUACCUGCGCUUAAUAGAGAGCAGCCCUAGUGAUCAUGAGGAUCGGCCACCUAGACCAUCGGCAUCACGAGGAGGUGGGUGUGAAUUUGUUAUAUCAAUUGAAUAAUGUAUGUAAAUCAGUAUUAAAAUUCUGAUGCUGCAAUGUCAAGUAAAAUAACUAUGGCUACUCAGAUGGCAGGGUUUAAAUGGUUCAAUUGCACUUACUUCACAAAAUCUUUUGUAUUAAAUUUAUGAUAUCUUCUUUUUUAAAGGACGGAAAUCAAGCCGAGGCUUAUUGUUUAGGCAAGGCUAUCUUCCUCGAGGUAAUUGAAUUUUCUGUUGCAUUCAAGCCAACAUUUAAACCAAUGCAAUAUUAAAUAUCACACCCAUACUUUUCUGGAAGCUUACUUGAAAAUUCCCUGAAGGUUGACCCAUGACAUUUUCUCUCUUGGCACUCAAGUUAGGGGAGCACCUGCAGGGGCCUAAUAGUCUCACCACUUUAUGUUGUCUGAGGGAUCCAGUUCUUCCUCAUCAGUAUCUGCAUAGUCGGAGAUCUCAUCGAGGUCUGCCUCUAUGUCUAAAUGCCCAGGAUCAACUUGCUGUUGUUCUUCGUCGGAGUCAUCGCUCACUUUGAAACUACUCUCUGAAGAUCACUGGACUCUUACUGGAAGACUCUUCUAACUUCAGUCUCUUCUCUUUUGUUGGUUGGCGAAUGAUUCUCUUCUUGAACUUAGCGGGCGAGCGAAUGGGGGGUUGCAGCUUGAUGGUUUUUUAGGAAGUACUCUUGUCUUCUUGAAUUUAGGUUGGCCACACACCACUUUAGAUGGUGCAGGUCGCUUGGUAUUGGUGGAAGCCAACUUGCUAAAAGUUUUGGCAGCCUCUUUUGCAGCUUGUUUAUCUACAAUCUUGUGGUGUUGACGAAUAUGCUGUCUCUUCCUGGUUACCACCAUGUUGCAGCUGUCGAUGCCAAUGUGGCAUUGACAGCUGCAACAUGGUGGUAACCAGGAAGAGUUCGGAUUGAAGGUUUUACCAUCUUUGCCAGUCAGCGUGAGCAACGAUCAAAGCAAUAUCUUUUUGAGAUAGAUCUUCACCAUGCUUCACCUCUAUGUGGCAUGCCAAAUGUGUACCUAAAUAUGGACAAUGAGGACACUGGCAUUCUUGGUUAUGGCUUUUUUCAGAAGCAUAUGCACUUUGUACCAAGUUGGAUUCUUCUGAUAUCUCCACUUCAUGAGCCACUUAACGCUAAUAUUCAUAGCUCAGUGAUAAGUGUAUACUAUUCAGAUCACAAUGCCAUAAGAAUAACUUUCCUUUAUUAAAUCCAUUUUGAAAUCACUGGCUAUCCUUGCAAUCUGAUUGGCUCUCAGUGGCA